rnacentral:misc_RNA from 1 species
CACAUGCAUUUUGCUGUUUGCCAACUUGCUCCUUCUGCCGCUUCUCCUCUCCUCUCCUCUUCCCCACUCUCUCUCGGUUCUUCGUGUCUCCCUCACGCAAUCUACGUACGCUUGCAGCUGUGCGCACGCGCGUCUCUUCACGAGGGCAGUGGGCGACAGAGGGAUGGUCGGCUGGGGCAGAGAGGGAGAUUGAAGGGAGCAGCUGAAAGAAGGGGGGACGCAAAAUGUGCACGCCCAUGUACUCCAGCACAGCAACGACAAUCUUCACACAUGCGCUUGCAGACGAACUCGCAGUUUUCUCACAAGCGACCCUCUCCCUCUUGAUAAUCUG